AAAGAGGGGAAGGGAGUGAUUUCAUCGGCGAAGUGCGGAAGCAGGUCGCGAAUCGCGUCGGGCAAGGGGAAAGAAGAAGGGUGCGCGUCUUUCGGCGAAGCAGAGCUCGGGGAAGGCAUGUAAUCUUCCCUUUUGUAGGUAAAGGAAGUGGUAUUGGGAUGGUGAUAGAGGACAUGAAGACGGAGUGACCGAGAGGAGGAGAUGGAAAGCAAGCCACACUAUCUAGGGCCGCUAUGCAUGAUAUUCAAUUGGAACCUUUGAUUGUAUUGUGAUUAAGAGUUUUAGCUUAAAUAUAUAAAAAAAACUGAGGCUGUUAUUGCUAUGUCCAAGUUACAAAUCAUAUAGUCGGAAUGUUUCAAUUGGUAUCAGGAUAGUCGCUCCCAAAGGACAGUGUGUGCAUGCAAUCUUGUCAAGGACUCGAAUACUACCGUCUUCAAGUCUGUAAAGGAAGUGGUAUUGGGAUGGUGAUAGAGGACACGAAGACAGAGUGACCGAGAGGAGGAGACGGAAAGCAAGUCACACUAUCCAGGGCCACUAUGCAUGAUAUUUAAUCGGAACCUUUGAUUGUAUUAAGAUUAAGAGCUUUAGCUUAAAUAUAUAAAAAAAAAAUGACGCUAUUAUUGCUAUGUCCAAGUUACAAAUCAUAUAGUCGAGAUGUUUCAGACUAGUUCACUAAUAACAUUUUAAAUUAGAAAUAA